rnacentral:ncRNA from 1 species
UAAAGAUUUGGUCCUAGCCUUAGUGUUAAUUGUAACUAAAAUUAUACAUGCAAGUUUCAGCACACCCGUGAGAAUGCCCUAAUUAGUCUAUUAAUUAAUUAGGAGCAGGUAUCAGGUACACAUCCGUUAGCCCAAGACACCUUGCUAAGCCACACCCUCAAGGGAUUUCAGCAGUAAUAAAAAUUAAUCCAUAAGCGCAAGCUUGAAUUAGUUAAAGUUAACAGGGUUGGUAAAUCUCGUGCCAGCCACCGCGGUUAUACGAGUAACCCAAAUUAAUAUUUCACGGCGUAAAGAGUGAUUUAAGGAAGAACUACAAUAACUAAAGUUAAGACCUCAUCCAACCGUCAUACGUUUCCAUGAAUAGAAAAAUCAACAACGAAAGUGACUUUAUUUAAUCAGCUAUCUUGAUGUCACGACAGUUAGAUCCCAAACUAGGAUUAGAGACCCUACUAUGUCUAACCAUAAACUUAGACAAUAAUUUACUAUAUUGUCCGCCAGAGUACUACAAGCGCUAGCUUAAAACCCAAAGGACUUGGCGGUGCCUCAUACCCACCUAGAGGAGCCUGUUCUAUAAUCGAUAAUCCCCGUUUAACCUCACCAUCCCUUGCCACCACCGCCUAUAUACCGCCGUCGUCAGCUUACCCUAUAAGGGAUAAAAAGUAAGCACAAAGAACUAAUACUUCUAUACGUCAGGUCAAGGUGUAGCGAAUGAGAUGGAAAGAAAUGGGCUACAUUUUUUCAACAAAAAACUACGAAUAGUAAACUGAAAAAUUACUUAAAGGUGGAUUUAGCAGUAAGAGAAGACUAGAGUACUUCCCUGAAACAGGCUCUGAGGCGCGCACACACCGCCCGUCACUCUCCUCAAACAUUUAUAUAUAUAUCCAUAAAAAGAAAUACUAAACAAGAGGAGGCAAGUCGUAACAUGGUAAGUGUACUGGAAAGUGCACUUGGAAU